AUUGAACGCUGGCGGAAUGCUUUACACAUGCAAGUCGAACGGCAGCACGGGGGCAGCCCUGGUGGCGAGUGGCGAACGGGUGAGUAAUACAUCGGAACGUGCCCGGUCGUGGGGGAUAACGUAGCGAAAGUUACGCUAAUACCGCAUACGAUCUGAGGAUGAAAGCGGGGGACCUUCGGGCCUCGCGCGAUCGGAGCGGCCGAUGUCAGAUUAGGUAGUUGGUGGGGUAAAGGCCUACCAAGCCGACGAUCUGUAGCUGGUCUGAGAGGACGACCAGCCACACUGGGACUGCGACACGGCCCAGACUCCUACGGGAGGCAGCAGUGGGGAAUUUUGGACAAUGGGCGCAAGCCUGAUCCAGCCAUUCCGCGUGCAGGACGAAGGCCUUCGGGUUGUAAACUGCUUUUGUACGGAACGAAAAGGCUCUGGCUAAUACCUGGGGCUCAUGACGGUACCGUAAGAAUAAGCACCGGCUAACUACGUG
rnacentral:rRNA from 1 species